rnacentral:tRNA from 1 species
AGGGGUAUAGCUCAACUGGUAGAGCACCGGUCUCCAAAACCGGCGGUUGGGGGUUCGAGUCCCUCUGCCCCUGCCA